AUAUAUACACAGAGAGAGAGAGAGAGAGAGAGAGAGUGUACUUGCAAUAGCUCAGGGAUAGAGCACCUGAAUGGACACUCUCUCUCUCUCUCUCUCUCUCUCUCUCUCUCUCUCUCUCUCUGUAUGU
rnacentral:miRNA from 1 species